rnacentral:rRNA from 1 species
CAGCAGUAGCCACGGGAAUACGAAGGGUGCAAGCGUUACUCGGAAUUACUGGGCGUAAAGCGUGCGUAGGUGGUGGUUUAAGUCCGUUGUGAAAGCCCUGGGCUCAACCUGGGAAUUGCAGUGGAUACUGGGUCACUAGAGUGUGGUAGAGGAUAGUGGAAUUUCCGGUGUAGCAGUGAAAUGCGUAGAGAUCGGAAGGAACAUCUGUGGCGAAAGCACUUUGCUGAGCCGACACUGACAUUGAGAGACGAAAUCUAGGGGAGCAAAUGGGAUUAGAUACCCCUGUAGUCCCUGUCUCUUAUAC